UAACAAAUUAGGAAAAAUUACAUUCGGAAUAUAAUUUAUAUAAGGCACGUUUAUUAUUAUAUAAAUAAAUUCGAUUUUAAAAUUGUUUAGCAGCAAUUAAAUUUCAAUUAACUUUAAUAUUUAUUUGAGAACGAUUAUAAUUUUACCCCCAAUUAUCAAAAACCCCAAUUAUUUAAUUAGACGUUUAAUUGCUUUAACCCACUAUAUUUUACCCUAAGAAUAAGUUACCCCGAUACUUUAAUCGUAACAGUCGUUUUGCUUUUUUUUCCUUUUUAACGUCCGCAAUAAAAAUACCUUUUUAUUUUUCGUAUAAAUUCCGUAAAAUGGCCAAAUAUUCGAUUUCGUUUUAAAAGUUUUUUCGUUAUAUGGAAUAUUUCCGUUUUAAUUGUUUUAAUUGCAACGUUUUGGGUUUUUUUUCGUGAAAAUUCGAAAUAUUAAUUUUUAAUACGUCCAAAUAAAAUUUAAAAUAAAAAUUGCGGAAAAAACGCGUCGUUAAAUUAAUACGAAAAUUAAACGGUUUCGGAAAUAAAAACAAAUAUGGUUUAAAAAAAUAAUGCGAACCGUAUUUCGCAAUAUUAAUAAUUUGGAAAAAUUAAAUUAUAUAAAACGUAAAUAAAUAAAAUAGGAAAAACGGCAAUUAACCGAAAUUUUUUUUAAAAUGUUUUUAAAAUUAUUUUUCCCGGGUUCCAAUUUUAUUUAAAAUUCGAUUUUUCCAAUAAAUCUUUUAAUUUUUUUUUUGGAUAAAAUAAGUAUUUUUACGCAAUAUUUAAUUAAUAAAUUGUUUUAUUUAUAUAUUUUAAUUUAUAACGUAUAUUAGUUGUUUUUUUUAAACUCGUUUAAUAAUAUAAUUUCGAAUUUUGGUCGGUUUUUAAUUGUUGGAAAUAAUAAAUAAUAUUUUUUUAAAUUUUCCUUUUUUUUUGGUUAAUUUGUUUGCAAAUCCAAUUUUUAAUAAUAUUGGCGGAACGGUUUUUGGCAAUUUUAAAAAUGGUUAAAAAUUUCCAAAUAUUUUUCUUAUAUUUAUAGUUUUUUUAUCUAAUAAAAUCUUUUGUUUUGCCGUAAUUGCGUUUAUAAUUAAAUAUUUGUUCGACGUUGUACGUUUAUUUUGCGUUAAUUUCGAUUGUUUUUUACGUAUUAAUACCGUAUAAUAUUAAUUUUAAUAAUAAUACAUAAAAUAUGGGGUAAACUCUUAUAAUAUUUAAUAAUAAUGAUUUAUAAUUAAUUUCGCUAAUUUUUUAUUAAUUUUAUAUUCAUUUUAAAAAGUCCAAACCUUUUAAAAUUAAAUUUGCUAUUCGGUCGUUAUAUUUUAAUAUUGCGUCGAAUAAAAUAAACGUUAUUUUUUUUAAAGAAUAGUCCCUUUAUCCGAUAUUAAUUGGCGUAUCUUAUUAUUUUUUUCGUGCAAAUUUUAAUUUCGGCUGGAAUCUUUCGUACAAAUAACGUAAUUUAUUUAUUUAUUUAUUGGCCCGCGGUACCGUAAUUAUAAUUUUGGGUUUUUUAUAUAUUAUAAAAUUAAAUUUAUAAUUUACGUAAAACGGGGUCGUUUUGGUAUUUUCCUUUUUUAAAUUAUUAUAAACAAAUUAUAUAAUAAAUAAUAACCGUAUCCGAUUAUUAUAUUUGUAAUAUAUAUAGUAUUUUAAAUAUUAUUCCAAAAUUU
rnacentral:sRNA from 1 species